CCGACUCUUUCUGACUCUCAUUCAUUUUCUUUUCAUUCACAGGAACAGAUACAUUCAAUGGAGGGUGACUUUCAGUUGAUGCAGAAACUGAACUGUUCACUUCUGGUCUACUUACAGUUGUUUGAGACCCUGAUUUCUUCUCAGCAGCCUCGAACACAAGUUGGUCAUCAUGAACAUCUGGAUGAGAACGAUCCACAGGGUCAGGAUUCAAACCCACAUGCCAAUCCUUUUUAACACUCCUCCGAGGUACC
rnacentral:misc_RNA from 1 species